GGAAAGGGGUAGCCCAACUCCAAAUCCGGUGACCCCUCUCUUCUCUCUAAACCCCCAAAUUCAUCACCCUAAAUCUCAUCCAAAAUUGAGAACUCUCGACUUCCUUCAUCUUCUCCGAUUCAAAAUCGAACCUCUACCAUCUUCUCCGUUUCGAAGUCGGAGCUCCAUCUCCACCGAUUUACUUUGGCGCCUCAAUCGUCCGGUCACAGUGGUCUCGCUCACUCCCAUCGUCUCCGGCCGCUUGACGAGCAGGGCCGUCGCCCGCUGUGUCGCUCAGCGCCGGCUCUCCGUCGCUGUAGCUCCGUCCGCGGCAGCACUCUCCUUUCGAUCCUUCCGUCAGACGGUACGGCGGCACUGGAGUCGCCUCUGCCGCUGACGGCCUCCGCCACCACUCGCAAACGGGCAGCUCCGUCCGCACAUCGUCGGUCAGCCGUCACAUAAGCUAAGCUCUCUAUCCCUUCCCCUUUUUUUCCACUUUAUAAAAUUAGUUUUGGGUUCGGGCAGUGGCUAUGUUGGAGGCCCUUGAUUGUAGUAUCUAAAAUCGUGAUCUUUGGAGAAAACUUUCUAUUUCACUGCAUUGAAUCCUUUGUUUGCGUUCCAUUCUUAAGUUGUGAGUUUUUUUUAUUAAUUGUGAAACUUAGCAGAUGCUUGCUCUUGACUAUUGCUGUGAGAGUCCUAUUGAAAUCUAAGUUCUUGGCUAGUUGAUGAGGUUGAUCUUACAUGAUGCAAGGUUGAGCGGUGACGAGCGCGGUGGGUGUUGAGCAUAAAAGUGAGGAAUGUCUACCAAAUGUCAAGAAUAUGUUGUGUCUUCAUACAUAGCAUUAUUCUACUCUCGAAAUGCUUCCGCUAAAUAUUGUUUCUUUUGAGUUUAUGAUUUGUUGAGAUAUAAUCCCUUGAGUUGUCAAUUGUUGAGAUGAUACUCUGAUUUUUAUUCAAGCUAUUCCCAUUUGUUUCGAGCUAUGUUCGAGUUGUGUUGUUUUCCCCUUUCUUCCCCGCUUCUUUAACCCUCCCCUAGUCGCGAUCAACCGUGCUUUCUAUCCUUAGAAAAUGCGGGCGUGACACAGGUAGCACAUAGAGAGGAGGCAAGACUAUUGGGAGUAGGAGCUGCUGCAGGCAGCCUUGGCUUACCCUCUUGGGUAAGUCUUUGGUCUCCUAAGGGUAAACAAGGUUGUCCCAUUUCAUCUAACAAAACUUCAUUUAUUUCCCUUGUUCCUUAGCAUUUAAACUUGUUUCUAUCUUGCAGCUGGGGGAGGACUUGGGCUGCCAUCCUGCUGCCGAGACCUGGGCCGACGGCUGCUUCGGGCCCGGCCCGUGAAGGGUGCGAUUUGGGCCUGGGGAGAAGGUCCAAAAGUGCAAGCUACAUAGCAAUAUUAUAUUUUGUAAUAGCAUCCAUAAUUCCUUUUUCUUAAACUCAUAAACCCACAUGUAAUUAUGUAAGCUAAAGCGUAGUUUGGGAUGUAGUCGAACAUUCUAGUUCGGGAAUGAACUCUUCGUAUUCUUCCUCGGCGUUUGUUAUGUUUCAUAAAUAUAGGUAAUUGUUUUAGUUCAA